ACGUGAAAUCGAUAUAAUGGAAACGAAUGAAGUCGACGUAUCUAGUGCGUAUUCAGUUGUCGUGCGUUGCGAUUGUUUGGCGUUGAUUUGUCGUUUAGGCGAUCGCGUUGAAUUGGUUGUAGCGUAUGGCAAUGCAUUUGCGUACAGAGUGCGACGAGUCGAUUGGUGUUGUCGGUGGAAAUUGUUUAAGAGGACGGUCUCGGCCGAUACCUUGUGCAAUGGAUGCCUGAUUAAUGCUGUUCGAUUAUAGCACUUGAGCGUAGGACUAGUCGGUUCAGGCGGCAGUCCGGCGUUGGACUUGUGUAAAACGCGUGCGUUUUGCGCUUGUUUCGGCGUUGGGUUGUUGUUUUGUGCCUCUGCGCUCUGCUCGUCGUAUAGUCGGUCACUCAUUCGACCCGUCUUGAAACACGGACCAAGGAGUUUACGGUACACGCGAGAUAUUGAGUUUUACGAAACUCAAAAUCGUAAUGAAAGUAAAACUGUUUAAGCAGUUUAAACACGAUCGGCUAAUCAAUUCGUUGAUUGUCGCGCAGUGUUGCCCCAUUCUUCGGACUUGUCCUAGUGUGGAGGCUGAGCGUGUGCGGUGAGACCCGAAAGAUGGUGAACUAUGCCUGAACAGGAUGAAGCCAGAGGAAACUCUGGGUGGAAGUCCGAAGCGGUUCUGACGUGCAAAUCGAUCGUCUGAUUUUGGUAUAGGGGCGAAAGACUAAUCGAACCAUCUAGUAG
rnacentral:rRNA from 1 species